rnacentral:rRNA from 1 species
UACGUAGGGUGCGAGCGUUGUCCGGAAUUAUUGGGCGUAAAGAGCUCGUAGGCGGUUUGUUGCGUCGGCUGUGAAAUCCCGAGGCUCAACCUCGGGUCUGCAGUCGAUACGAGCAAACUAGAGUGUUGCAGGGGAGACUGGAAUUCCUGGUGUAGCGGUGAAAUGCGCAGAUAUCAGGAGGAACACCGGUGGCGAAGGCGGGUCUCUGGGCAGCAACUGACGCUGAGGAGCGAAAGCGUGGGGAGCGAACAGG